AAUGCACAGGACUUCCCCCAACAAGACUGUAAUCACAGGACUCUGGAGGCUGAGGCAGGAGGACUGCUGCAACGAUAAGGCCAGUCUAAGCUCCACAAUGAUGACAAGCAUCAAAGAAUAUCCAGCUAGAGUUUGCUUUCAUUGUGGUAAAGUUAGCCACUGGGCAAGAAACUGUCUCAACUAAUGACAGUAUGCUGUCCAAACUGGACAAGCAGAAGACAAAAAAGGCAACAGAUGAACUUUGCCAGAACAAGACUUACCUAUGCCUAGCACUCAUCUUAAAAGACAACAUCAGGAGAGGUGGAAAGAAGACAUAAUACUGAGGACUCUUGUCUGGUGAGAGCUCUCCCGGUGGGCUGCUUGAAAGACUUUUACAACAGGAGCACCAGCGACAUGGACUUAACUGGCUUGCCACACCAUGUGACCUUCCCUGGAGUCCGGCCAUCACCACUCAGGUUCUGUUGCAGCUAUGGCCCAGGAUGCUCCCAAUUGUUUGGGUGGGUAGGGGCAUGGGUUUAUUUGGGAGCUUUCCUAGGUUGAGAUAAAGAAGCAUCCAUGUGGAUCCUUUAUCAG